AGAACGAACGCUGGCGGCAUGCCUAACACAUGCAAGUCGAACGCUUCCGGGGCUUCGGUCGCGGAGGAGUGGCGCACGGGUGAGUAGCGCGUGGGAACCUGCCCUGUUGUGGGGGAUAACCGAGGGAAACUUCGGCUAAUACCGCAUACGCCCCGGGACUUGGUCUUCGGAUUAGGUCUGGGGGGAAAGAUUGAUCGCAGCAGGAGGGGCCCGCGUCGGAUUAGCUGGUUGGUGGGGUAACGGCUCACCAAGGCGAUGAUCCGUAGCUGGUCUGAGAGGAUGAUCAGCCACACUGGGACUGAGACACGGCCCAGACUCCUACGGGAGGCAGCAGUGGGGAAUAUUGGACAAUGGGGGCAACCCUGAUCCAGCAAUGCCGCGUGAGUGAUGAAGGCCUUAGGGUUGUAAAGCUCUUUCGCCCGCGACGAUGAUGACGGUAGCGGAGAAGAAGCCCGGCUAACUUCGCGCCAGCAGCCGCGGU
rnacentral:rRNA from 1 species